rnacentral:rRNA from 1 species
CCUACGGGGAGCUGCAGUGAGGAAUAUUGGUCAAUGGACGAGAGUCUGAACCAGCCAAGUAGCGUGAAGGAUGACUGCCCUAUGGGUUGUAAACUUCUUUUAUAAAGGAAUAAAACGAGGCACGUGUGCCUUUUUGUAUGUACUUUAUGAAUAAGGAUCGGCUAACUCCGUGCCAGCAGCCGCGGUAAUACGGAGGAUCCGAGCGUUAUCCGGAUUUAUUGGGUUUAAAGGGAGCGUAGAUGGGUUGUUAAGUCAGUUGUGAAAGUUUGCGGCUCAACCGUAAAAUUGCAAUUGAUACUGGCAGUCUUGAGUACAGUUGAGGUAGGCGGAAUUCGUGGUGUAGCGGUGAAAUGCUUAGAUAUCACGAAGAACCCCGAUUGCGAAGGCAGCUUACUAAACUGUGACUGACAUUGAUGCUCGAAAGUGUGGGUAUCAAACAGGAUUAGAUACCCUGGUAGUC